CUUGUCGGCUAGUGGGCAACUAAUCUUUUGCGUAAUAAUGCAGAACCAAAACUGCAUAAGUGUACAAGGCGUUUCAUAGAAGCAGGGUGCGUAUUACCCUGUGUUUACGUGUAUAGUCAUAUAACUCUUGUGGGGAAGCUUAGUAACUAAAGCUAGAUAUAUGUUUGGAUACUAGGCUAGACAUGUAUUUGGGGCUAGAUGCUAUGCGUAUGCAACUAAAAACAGUAAAAUGCAAAACGUAUAGGGUAAACAAUUUUGGAUAUUAACUGGUAGAAAGUACGCUUCUAUCAGUUUUUA
rnacentral:sRNA from 12 species